AGUGAACGCUGGCGGUGUGCUUAACACAUGCAAGUCGAACGAGAACGGAUUAUAGCUUGCUAUAAUUGUCAGCUAAGUGGCGCACGGGUGAGUAAUGUAUAGGUAAUAUGCCUCUUACUAAGGGAUAACAAAUGGAAACGUUUGCUAAUACCUUAUACUCCUUAUUAACAUAAGUUAAUAAGUGAAAGAUUUAUUGGUAAGAGAUUAGCCUGUAUUGUAUCAGUUAGUUGGUGGGGUAAUGGCUUACCAAGACUAUGACACAUAACUGGUUUGAGAGGAUGAUCAGUCACACUGGAACUGAGACACGGUCCAGACUCCUACGGGAGGCAGCAGUGGGGAAUAUUGCACAAUGGACGAAAGUCUGAUGCAGCAACGCCGCGUGGAGGAUGACACAUUUCGGUGUGUAAACUCCUUUUAUAUGAGAAGAUAAUGACGGUAUUAUAUGAAUAAGCACCGGCUAACUCCGUGCCAGCCGCCGCCGUAA
rnacentral:rRNA from 1 species